rnacentral:misc_RNA from 1 species
UCUCCGUUGGUGAACCAGCGGAGGGAUCAUUACAGAGUUCCACAACUCCCAACCCCUGCGAACCGUACCCCAGUUUGUUCUCGUUGCCUCCUGGCGUCGGGCCCCCGGCGCCACCGCCGGGGCCCCCGCCAGCGGCGGCGAGCCUCCUGAACCUUUUUUUCUCACCCAGCCCGUCUGAGCAAACAAACAAAUGAAUCAAAACUUUCAACAACGGAUCUCUUGGUUCUG